rnacentral:rRNA from 1 species
GAUGAACGCUGGCGGCGUGCCUAAUACAUGCAAGUCGAGCGAACAGACGAGGAGCUUGCUCCUUUGACGUUAGCCGCGGACGGGUGAGUAACACGUGGAUAACCUACCUAUAAGACUGGGAUAACUUCGGGAAACCGGAGCUAAUACCGGAUAAUAUAUUGAACCGCAUGGUUCAAUAGUGAAAGACGGUUUUGCUGUCACUUAUAGAUGGAUCCGCGCCGCAUUAGCUAGUUGGUAAGGUAACGGCUUACCAAGGCAACGAUGCGUAGCCGACCUGAGAGGGUGAUCGGCCACACUGGAACUGAGACACGGUCCAGACUCCUACGGGAGGCAGCAGUAGGGAAUCUUCCGCAAUGGGCGAAAGCCUGACGGAGCAACGCCGCGUGAGUGAUGAAGGUCUUCGGAUCGUAAAACUCUGUUAUUAGGGAAGAACAAAUGUGUAAGUAACUAUGCACGUCUUGACGGUACCUAAUCAGAAAGCCACGGCUAACUACGUG